AGGAAAUCUGCCCAACUUGUGUCCUCACGCAUCAGAAAGCAGCUAAAUGUAUUAGGCAACAAGGUUGACCCGCUGUCAGAUGGUGAGGAUGGUGAUGAUGACUGCUUCGUACCUUCUAAAACUGAUCUGCAGAGUAGCAGCGAUGAGGAAGAGGAGGCAAAGAUUGACAGCGAAGAUGAGCUUAUAGUGAAGAAGUGUAGAGGAUCCCAAACACCCCGAUCCACAGAGAAAACCCGUGUCUCUGCUAGAACCCCACGUAAAACACCCAUCAAGAAGACUGCUCCAGCCACCCCACGGACACCACGUCAUGCCACUCCCAGCAUACCCAGCCGGAGUGCACCGGCUAGGAAGCCUGCGAAUGUUCUGGAAGAAGCACGAG